CCUGGGGCCGUGGGCGGGGAUGGUCCCCUCACUCGGCAUCCAGGGGACGAUGGCAAAGGCUUCCCACGGCACUGUCACCAAGGAGGUCAGCGCCAAGAGCUAAGGGAGAAAUAACUUCCAUUGAUGAUCGAUGGAGUUAACAAGAGGACGGAAAAACAAAACAAAACAAAACAAAACCCAGCAGCUCAGCCACAGGGAAAUGAGACCCGAUCGCAGAGAACGCACUUUCUCGCACCGAGGGACAACAAAGCGGCGAGCGUGAUGGAGCCCAGAGAGGGAAGAGUUGGAGGAGGCGAGAAGGGAUGCGCCGUCCUCAGGAAUUCAGCGGUUGAUUGAUUCGUCGGUAGAGAAAUGAAACCAAACACAGAAAUAUCAACCUGCCAGCCAGUUUAUCUCUAUCUUUUCUUCAUGCCAAAACAGAUUUAGUUAUGUGGUGACCAUGUUUGCAGCGAAGAUGCUUAUGGGAGGGUACCCAGACCCAGCGUGGAUACAGCGGACAAAGGGGCGAGCCACACCCCAGGUGGCGUGGGGUUGCAUCAUGCUACAACUUAAAACCUGUGCACUGUUUAUUUCCGGAACUUCCCAUUUCAUGCUUGCAGACUGAAGCUGACUGCGGGUCAUCGAACCCGUGGAUAAGGUGGGCCGGGACUACUGUAGUCUGCUGGAUAAAUAAAUUCGUUUCACCACUGUGA